CGAGAUAUCUGGUUGAUCCUGCCUGAACUGAUGUGUUCAUUUCAAAGAUUAAGCCAUGCAUGUAUAAGUUUAAUCGUUUUAACGAGAAACCGCGAACGGCUCAUUACAAUGGCCAUGAUUUACUUGAUCUUGAUUAUCUAAAUGGAUAACUGUGGAAAAGCUAGAGCUAAUACAUGCACCAAAGCUUUGUCCUCUCGGAAAAGCGCAUUUAUUAGAACAAAACCACGCGGCUUCGGCUGCUUCUUGUUGACUCAGAAUAACUAAGCUGACCGCAUGGCCUUGUGCCGGCGGCGUGUCUUUCAAGCGUCCACUUUAUCAACUUGACGGGAGCAUAAUCGACUCCCGUGGUGGUGACGGAUAACGGAGGAUCAGGGUUCGACUCCGGAGAAGGGGCCUGAGAAAUGGCCACUACGUCUAAGGAUGGCAGCAGGCGCGCAAAUUACCCACUCUCGGCUCGAGGAGGUAGUGACGAGAAAUAACGAGAUCGUUCUCUUUGAGGCCGGUCAUCGGAAUGGGUACAAUUUAAAACCCUUUAACGAGUAUCAAGCAGAGGGCAAGUCUGGUGCCAGCAGCCGCGGUAAUUCCAGCUCUGCUAAUACAUAGAAUUAUUGCUGCGGUUAAAAAGCUCGUAGUUGGAUUCGUAUCGGUACCCUGGAACCCUCCGGGUGUUUCUGGGUGUUAUCGAUUUAUCGUAAUGUUCGGUUUUGAGUCCUUAACAGGAUUCUUAACAGGCAUUGCAAGUUUACUUUGAACAAAUCAGAGUGCUUCAAACAGGCGUUUUCGCUUGAAUGAUCGUGCAUGGAAUAAUAGAAAACGAUUUCGGUUCAGUUUUAUUGGUUUUACGGACUGAGAUAAUGGUUAACAGAGACAAACGGGGGCAUUUGUAUGGCCCCGUGAGAGGUGAAAUUCUUGGACCGUGGCCAGACAAACUACAGCGAAAGCAUUUGCCAAGAAUGUCUUCAUUAAUCAAGAACGAAAGUCAGAGGUUCGAAGGCGAUCAGAUACCGCCCUAGUUCUGACCGUAAACGAUGCCAACUAGCGAUCCGCCGAUGGAAAUUAUAUUGCCUUGGUGGGGAGCUUCCCGGAAACGAAAGUCUUCCGGUUCCGGGGGAAGUAUGGUUGCAAAGCUGAAACUUAAAGGAAUUGACGGAAGGGCACCACCAGGAGUGGAGCCUGCGGCUUAAUUUGACUCAACACGGGGAAACUCACCCGGCCCGGACACUGUGAGGAUUGACAGAUUGAUAGCUUUUUCAUGAUUCAGUGGAUGGUGGUGCAUGGCCGUUCUUAGUUCGUGGAGUGAUUUGUCUGGUUUAUUCCGAUAACGAGCGAGACUCUAACCUACUAAAUAGCUGGUACAUACUCUUAGUGUAUACAGCUUCUUAGAGGGAUUUGCGGUGUUCAGCCGAAAGAAAUUGAGCAAUAACAGGUCUGUGAUGCCCUUAGAUGUCCGGGGCUGCACGCGCGCUACACUGGCAAAAU
rnacentral:rRNA from 1 species